UGGGUAAUUAAGUAAAGGAGUCAUUGCUAGAGCCUUUCCCUCUUGUCCAGAUGCCUCUUGCUUGCUAAGCCUGGGGCAAGUUUGGAGCAAUAAAGUUCUCUUAAACCAGGAGAAGAGAGCCACCCUCACAGAAGGAAAGGCAAAUAUGGAUAAACAUAUAAAUUCAUACACUUUUGGGAGGUUAGUUUGGUCCAAUGUAUGUUGAAUUUCCAACUAGAGGGGACUCCUUUGCAGAUAUGUCCAAUCCACUUGCACAGUUACUUCAGCUCAGAGUGUUGAGAAGCUGUGUGUUAGAUUAUGUCUCUCCGCAGCUAACAUUGCACAUAGGGGUGCUGUCAAACUAUAUCUUCUUAUGCCAUUCUCUCUGCCAGGGAAUGGCCUGCACUUUUUCAAAAUCACUCUCCUUUCCUAAUAACCAUUCCAACGCCAAAUGACUUCUCAGCUCUCUCUUCUAUAGAAGAUUCUGAUGCUAGGAAUAUUUGUUCAAAGGCGCAUACAUCCUGCUAUCUAUUGUACUUUUAAUAUGUAUUAUACAUUGUAGUGUGCUGAGUGAGUCAAAGUCAGCUGGGCUUCUAAAUCAGACCCUAUCUCAAACACAGGAAAUAAUCAGAAUUGUAUUUGUGAUAGGCUUGCAGACUCCAGUUUUUCUUUUACCAAUUAAUUUUUUUUUCUGGUAUUGAGAGACAGGGUUUCUCUGUGCAGGUCUGGCUGUCCUGGAACUUACUCUAUAGACCAUCCUGGCCGUGAACUCAGAAAUCUGCCUGCCUCUGCCUCCCAAGUGCUAGGUUACCAAUUAAUCUUAAUGUUAAAAUUCAAUUCCUACUUAAAAGUCACCUUCUUUUAUUGACUUUUCAUUUAUUUAUAAUCUUGUGAUUUCCACAUCAGAAAUGGAUUCCAGCAUUCCUGGUGUGUUCUGUUAACUGUGUGAUAGUGAACUAAGUUACUAACUGAAAAAGAUUCCACUUUUGUAAGCACAUGCUAUGUACCUAGGCCUUGAGCUUGACUAUAAAAGCACUCCCCUACUUUUUAAUAAAUCGAUUUCUCUUUAUUCAAUUUAUAUCCUGCUCACUGCCUUCCUCCCAGUCACCCCCCUCCCACAAUUCUUCCCCCAGUCCCCCCUUCCCUUUUCCUCUGAGUAGAUGGGCCACAUUGUAUUACCUAGAUUUGGUAAUACAAUGUAUUUCGUAGGACUCAGGUAGUAUCUUGUUUUCACAGUAUGGUCAAAUUUUUAUUCAGAUUCUUGAUUGCCUGGUGUGUGGACCAAAAAAAUAGGCCAUUCAGACUCUUGUCAAUGGUCUACAAUUGAUUGCCUCACUGUUCAUUCUUAAUAUUACAUACUGUAAAGCAGCAAAGUUAUCUACUUCCUUUUGUCCUGUCCCUUUUUGGGCUGUGACUACACUACUUUCAAAGUUCCUGAACUAGAAUUUUGAGCAUUGAAGGUCUAUACUGUGUGCCUUCAGCACACUCUAACCCUAAAGAGCAUGCUUAUAUCACUCAAGAAUCACUGGCCAAUCAGGGCAUCCAGGCAGGCCAAUCAGGAGAAUAGGAGGGUUCUUCCCAGUACUUUGUGCCAUACUGGAGGUUCAGCUCUAUGGUGAGCCUGUGACAGCUGCCUCUUACUUGAAAGAGCAGGGGCAUGAACAUUUGAUGCUGGGGAAGUGGGUACUUCCCUUGGCUGGGUGGGAACCAGUGGCCAGGUGUGCUGAGCCAUCUCUCCAGCCUCAAGUUAAACACUUUUAAAAGUUGCCUUAGAUAUUUUGUUUUAUCACCAGCAGCUGAGAUGUCACUGGUACAUAGCCAUAACCUUUUACACCUAAAUGAGUUAUUUCAUGGAAGUAAAGAGAAGUGUGAAAUCUAAACAGGUUGCCUUAUCAAUGAAAUUCAUAGGUUUCUUUCCAUGAGUUUGCAAAUACAGAAACUAUAGAAAGGGACAUCAGUAUACUUAAGAAGUCUCAUGAUACUUUUUAGAGUUUUUCUCAAGAAAAUACAAUCGUGUGGAACUUAACAUAAGCGGGCUAGCUAAAGAUCAUACCACAUUCUCUGUAGUCUUAGAGUUCCUUCAGUAUUAAUUCUCUCUGGUCCUCAAAGACUUCUGUAUUAUGCAAAGGCUUUGACAGACUGAGUACACUCUCAAAAUUUUACUAUUAAAAGAGACCAUGAAGUGUUGACAUUUAC
rnacentral:lncRNA from 1 species